rnacentral:misc_RNA from 1 species
AGCACCAGCACCAGCACCAGCACGGACUAUCACAACUACUGGGAAUGGCAUUUUAUUAGUCCUGCCUGUCACAUUCCCAGCUCCAAUCCAUUCGCAUUAAUUUACGGACCUUUUGUUGGCCAUUGCAAGUUCUGUUCAGAACCUUUGCUGGAGGUGGCAUCAUACAUGAUUGCUUUACAAUGUAGGCAGUUGAAUCCCUAACUGACAACUUGGCUGAUGAUCUACUUGAUUUUGGCGUAGACCAAUUUAUUGGGCCCUUUCGCACACCAUUAAUAUGCGCAAGAUCCUCCUUGUUCUCACUUGUUGAGAGUUUAGGCCUCUUUGAGGCCAAUAUUUGGUCCCCAUUUCUUGUCGAAGUGGAUGAUGCAAACAUUUCUUCAUGUUUCUCAUUUGAUUUUGAUUUGCGAGCUUUCAUCACCUUUUGAGUAGGCUUCUUUGGCCACUUCAUUAUCAUUCCAUCUCGGUUUAGCCUCGAGUUACAUGCGGCAAUCUCACACAAGGUUUGAGCAGCUGCCAGUACUUUUGGACAAUGCUCAACUGUCACACAGAAAAAUGCAAAUAAAAAGGGGCACACCAAUCAAGGAGGUUCAAUUCAAGUGGCAUUAAUUUGCACAUUCCUUGAGUUUUCCUUCUCCCAAUCAAACAAAUGCCAACGUAGGCAGCACCCACGUCUCAAUUUUCAGUAUUUCAUAGAACUUGCACAAACAUUAGCAACAAGCUAUUAUGCAUGCACAAAGAAACAACAAACCGUGGCCAAGCCUAUUAUUGAAGAAAUAAAGUUGCAAGUAACUGUAAAAUCAUACCUUUUCCUCGAUUCUUGAGGCCACCAGAUUCCUUCAUGCAAGUAUCGCCCAGAGGAGUGUGGGAUGUCACAGAAGCGGAUGCUAUUGAGGAACCCCACUCGCACCGAGGAACAAAUGUAGAUGAAGCAAAAUUAUUAUCUAGGAUAGACAGCUUUGUACCACUUGCUGGAACUAAGGUCUCAUCAUAAGCGAAGGACUCCAAGUUUGUAAAAUAAUUAGAGGUACUUCCAAGAGAACUGAAAGCAUACCCCAUUUUCACCCAUCUACCUUGGCAUGUGCUCCUACUUGUUAAAAGCUUAACUGCAUCAGAAUUGGUUCUACAAUGCCCAUUAAAAGUGUGUGACCAGGGAAAUUGUGGCAAGCUAGGCCAGCGAGAUAUUUGCUUGCCUGGACGUGGUUCAGAAGCAUUCCUUGAAGAAACAGCAGGCUUGGCUGCGUCCAGAAGCAAAGACUCCAAAUCCUUAGGUGGAGGAAGUGUUAAGCGUUCUAACGUAUCUUUAGGUUGGUCAAAUGAAAAAUUGAGCAAAUUAGCAGGAGUUUCAGACUUGUUGCUAGAAUCCUGUAACUUCAAAAGGGGAAGCAAUAACACAUGCACAAUUAUGAUUAGAAUUCAAUGUCUGAAGAAAAAGUAAUGAUAAAAUACAAGAUCAAAAAGCUACUUACAUAUUAAGAUUGACAGAGUGGGGGGAUCAAUUGGCACAUUGGACAUCAUAGUUUUAAAAAAAAAAAUUCCAAUAUUUUUUUAAGACAAAGCCAGUAGUUGCAUGCACAGCAAGAGAAGGGGAGAGAGAGUGACAGAGAGAAGGGAAGAAGUUCCUGUCAUUAAAAUUUUCAAACUUUUCUGCUUGGUAUUGCAAGUGAAACUGCUUUUUUGCUUAAAUGUUAUUGGCUUAUUGCAAAAAAGCAGUUUUAAACUCUUCUUUUAGCUAUUUUGGGUUUUUACAGUCAAAACAAGUCAACUCUAUCCUGAAACAAAUUUUAAUUGCUUUAAUCAACAUAUUCAAUAAGGUGCCUUUUUUAAUCACAGCUAUACCAAUAAAGCCAAACAAAUCUAUAGUCAUUUAAGUAUAAUUCCUGUCCUGCAUCCAGACAAUUAUCUUAGAUGUGAUUUAAACUAACCUUGUUUGAUAAAGAUAUAUCUGUUGUAGAUGAAUCACCAUUAUCUCCAUUUCCCACGGUAGAAAUAGAGCUAGAUUGGCACGUAGGCAUUUUCUCAUUGGAACAGCUAUCUAUAUCAGCAAAAUUUUGGAUCUGUGCAGACCUAGGUAGCUGAAGAAUAGAGCAAGCCUUUCUAACUGAAUGCAGAAUACGUUCAGUUGUGUUUGUUGCUUUCUUUCCCCGGUCUUUGCCUAAGCUAGGACACUCAUAAGCGCCUUGAAGGAGAUCAUUCAAUGAUAAAUCAUCUACAAGUUUUGUGAUGUCAUGAACAUCUGUCUUCAGACCAUACAAUCCAAAGAAGUUGUUUCCCGCAGCAGCUGAACUGAAGCUCGCCAAACUUGCCUUCACAGAGAAGGAAUCAUAUUUAGCCCUCGUGGAAACUUUGGAAUUUCUCCUAUCCCCACGUUUGCUGCUGAAGUUAUUCUUUUGUCUUGACAAAUGAGCUUUCUCUUGAGAGUCAAUUUUUGUCAGAUGCGAUCCUAGCUUAUCAGAUGGAUCCUUCAUGUCAUCAACCACAACUGGACCUUUAGUAUCUUCCAAUAGAGCUAUUUGUGGCCUUUUAUGACAUCCACGACCACUUAUUGACAUUUGUCCUGAUUUUCUCUGUACAUGCGUUUUUUCAGGCGUUGGAACAACCCUCGAAGGACCAUUGGCACCACUACAAUGGCGCUGUUUGGACACGCUUUCACUAGGAAAGCUGGGCAGGUGGCUUGCAUGCUGGCAAAGUUCAGAACCUGGAACCUUAUCCAAAGGUGUAGACUCCAAAAAAUUCACUGAGCUUGUCCACUCUUUUUUGCUAAGCAAAGAGUUGCACAGCUCACGGCUCGACUCGCAAGCCGCUGCCUCCUCCUCCAUCAACGUAACCCUAUCUCUACCAAACCCGUCCGAUCCCAUAACCUUCGGUGCCGCCACAUCCACAGGAUAAUUCAACUCCACAGCAUCCAUAACCAAGACCCAGACCUCACAGCCGGCAAAAUUGAUAACAACCAAAGGCACAUACCUCGCGAUCUGGAACGACAGGGUCAAGAGCGAGCAGAACGGGGCCGUUUUGACGCGCUGUCGGAGAAACCGAUGAGGGGAAGCGAGGAUUUGGAGGGAGAAAGUGAGGGAAAGUAAAGGAGACUGAAGAGUUUGGAAGUGAAGAGCAUGUGUGCGGCGAGGUGGAGGCUAGAGAGAGGAGGUGUACUAUUAGGGCUAA